rnacentral:rRNA from 1 species
UGUGCCUACAAGUAGUCAAAGCACAUUAAAGUGUAAUGGCGUGCCUUUUGUAGAAUGAACCGGCGAGUUACGUUAUGGUGCAAGGUUAAGUCAGAAAAGACGGAGCCGGAGCGAAAGCGAGUCUGAAGAGGGCGAGAGAGUAUCAUGACGUAGACCCGAAACCAAGUGACCUACCCAUGACCAGGUUGAAGGCGUGGUAAAACACGCUGGAGGACCGAACCCACGUGAGUUAAAAAUCGCGGGGAUGAGUUGUGGGUAGCGGUGAAAUUCCAAACGAACUUGGAGAUAGCUGGUUCUCUCCGAAAUAGCUUUAGGGCUAGCCUCGUGUGAAUGAUAAUGGAGGUAGAGCGCUGUUUGGACUAGGGGCCCGUCAGGGGUUACUGAAUCCAGAUAAACUCCGAAUGCCAGAUAUCAAUGCACGGGAGUCAGACUGCGAGUGAUAAGAUCCGUAGUCGAAAGGGAAACAGCCCAGAUCACCAGUUAAGGUCCCCAAAUCUAUGCUAAGUGGAAAAGGAUGUGGAGUUGCGUAGACAACUAGGAUGUUGGCUUAGAAGCAGCCACCAUUUAAAGAGUGCGUAAUAGCUCACUAGUCGAGUGACGCUGCGCCGAAAAUGUACCGGGGCUAAGCAUAGUACCGAAACUGUGGAUGCAUAUCAAAGGAUAUGCGUGGUAGGAGAGCGUUCUAAGUGCGGAGAAGUUAGAUCGAGAGGACUAAUGGAGCGCUUAGAAGUGAGAAUGCCGGUAUGAGUAGCGAAAGAUAGGUGAGAAUCCUAUCCGCCGAAAGACUAAGGUUUCCUGGGGCAGGCUCGUCCGCCCAGGGUAAGUCGGGACCUAAGGUAAGGCCGAGAGGCGUAGCCGAUGGACAACAGGUAGAGAUUCCUGUACUGAAAUUGUUCGAUAAGAGCAAAGGAGGGACGCAGGAGGCUAAUGACGCAUGUAGCUGGAAAAACAUGUGCAAGCAGUAAGAAAAAAGAUGAGUCAAAUGCUUAUUUUUAGAUUUCAAGCUGUGACGCGGAGUGAAAUCAAAGUAGCGAAGGUCAUGAUGUCACACUGCCAAGAAAAGCUUCUAGCCAGAGCAAUUUUACCCGUACCGCAAACCGACACAGGUAGUCGAGUGGAGAACACUCAGGUGAGCGAGAGAACUCUCGUUAAGGAACUCGGCAAAAUGACCCCGUAACUUCGGGAGAAGGGGUGCUGAUGGUAAAAGAUCAGCCGCAGUGAAUAGGCCCAAACAACUGUUUAUCAAAAACACAGGUAUCUGCAAAAUCGUAAGAUGACGUAUAGGUGCUGACACCUGCCCGGUGCUGGAAGGUUAAGAGGAGAGCUUAGCGUAAGCGAAGGUUUGAAUUGAAGCCCCAGUAAACGGCGGCCGUAACUAUAACGGUCCUAAGGUAGCGAAAUUCCUUGUCGGGUAAGUUCCGACCUGCACGAAAGGUGUAAUGAUUUGGGCACUGUCUCAACGAGAGACUCGGUGAAAUUAUAAUACCCGUGAAGAUGCGGGUUACCCGCGACAGGACGGAAAGACCCCAUGGAGCUUUACUGUAGCUUGAUAUUGAGUAUUUGUUAAACAUGUACAGGAUAGGUAGGAGCCAGAGAAAGUAGGACGCUAGUCUUACUGGAGGCAAUGUUGGGAUACUACCCUUGUUUGAUGGAUCCUCUAACUCGCAGAGCUGAGCGUUCUGGAGGACAGUGUCAGGUGGGCAGUUUGACUGGGGCGGUCGCCUCCUAAAAUGUAACGGAGGCGCCCAAAGGUUCCCUCAGAAUGGUUGGAAAUCAUUCGCAGAGUGUAAAGGUAUAAGGGAGCUUGACUGCGAGAGGUACACCUCGAGCAGGGACGAAAGUCGGGCUUAGUGAUCUGGUGGUACUGCAUGGAAAGGCCAUCACUCAACGGAUAAAAGCUACCCUGGGGAUAACAGGCUUAUCUCCCCCAAGAGUUCACAUCGACGGGGAGGUUUGGCACCUCGAUGUCGGCUCGUCGCAUCCUGGGGCUGAAGUCGGUCCCAAGGGUUGGGCUGUUCGCCCAUUAAAGCGGCACGCGAGCUGGGUUCAGAACGUCGUGAGACAGUUCGGUCCCUAUCCGUCGUG